UUCAACAUUUUUUGCGGCAUGGGCGUUGACGUGGCUGCUGUACUGUCGUUUCAUAGAGAUGCCUACGCGCAUCACAAUAGAAAACCAAUAUGAGUCUGUAGAAAAUCUUCCAUAUCCAUCCGUUGCUCUUUGCUCUCCAAAUCAAAUAACUCUAAGUGCAUUAAAGCAUUUCAACAGAACUCUCGUGGAAGGAAAUCGUGAAAUCGAUUUCAAGAAUGUCAGUCCAUUACUGCUUGGUUUCUAUGAAUUAAUUGGGGAUUUUGACCAGGGUGUCAUCUCUCGUGUCGAAGCCCUGAUAGAAGCUAAUAGGUAUCAUGCACUAGACAUUAUGGGAAUGGUAGCACAAAAAUGCGAAGAUUUUCUAAAACUCUGCUUAUUUGAAGGCAAAGCUUAUCCACAUUGCAGAACAUUAUUCUCACCCGUACUAACAAAGAUCGGAAUGUGUUGUAUAUUUAAUAAUGUGUAUCAAUUUC